rnacentral:rRNA from 1 species
AGCGUACACGGUGGAUGCCCUGGCAGUCAGAGGCGAUGAAGGACGUGCUAAUCUGCGAUAAGCGUCGGUGAGGUGAUAUGAACCGUUAUAACCGGCGAUUUCCGAAUGGGGAAACCCAGUGUGUUUCGACACACUAUCAUUAACUGAAUCCAUAGGUUAAUGAGGCGAACCGGGGGAACUGAAACAUCUAAGUACCCCGAGGAAAAGAAAUCAACCGAGAUUCCCCCAGUAGCGGCGAGCGAACGGGGAGGAGCCCAGAGCCUGAAUCAGUGUGUGUGUUAGUGGAAGCGUCUGGAAAGGCGCGCGAUACAGGGUGACAGCCCCGUACACAAAAAUGCACAUAUUGUGAGCUCGAUGAGUAGGGCGGGACACGUGGUAUCCUGUCUGAAUAUGGGGGGACCAUCCUCCAAGGCUAAAUACUCCUGACUGACCGAUAGUGAACCAGUACCGUGAGGGAAAGGCGAAAAGAACCCCGGCGAGGGGAGUGAAAAAGAACCUGAAACCGUGUACGUACAAGCAGUGGGAGCCUCUUAAUGGGGUGACUGCGUACCUUUUGUAUAAUGGGUCAGCGACUUAUAUUCUGUAGCAAGGUUAACCGAAUAGGGGAGCCGAAGGGAAACCGAGUCUUAACUGGGCGUUAAGUUGCAGGGUAUAGACCCGAAACCCGGUGAUCUAGCCAUGGGCAGGUUGAAGGUUGGGUAACACUAACUGGAGGACCGAACCGACUAAUGUUGAAAAAUUAGCGGAUGACUUGUGGCUGGGGGUGAAAGGCCAAUCAAACCGGGAGAUAGCUGGUUCUCCCCGAAAGCUAUUUAGGUAGCGCCUCGUGAAUUCAUCUCCGGGGGUAGAGCACUGUUUCGGCAAGGGGGUCAUCCCGACUUACCAACCCGAUGCAAACUGCGAAUACCGGAGAAUGUUAUCACGGGAGACACACGGCGGGUGCUAACGUCCGUCGUGAAGAGGGAAACAACCCAGACCGCCAGCUAAGGUCCCAAAGUCAUGGUUAAGUGGGAAACGAUGUGGGAAGGCCCAGACAGCCAGGAUGUUGGCUUAGAAGCAGCCAUCAUUUAAAGAAAGCGUAAUAGCUCACUGGUCGAGUCGGCCUGCGCGGAAGAUGUAACGGGGCUAAACCAUGCACCGAAGCUGCGGCAGCGACACUAUGUGUUGUUGGGUAGGGGAGCGUUCUGUAAGCCUGUGAAGGUGGCCUGUGAGGGUUGCUGGAGGUAUCAGAAGUGCGAAUGCUGACAUAAGUAACGAUAAAGCGGGUGAAAAGCCCGCUCGCCGGAAGACCAAGGGUUCCUGUCCAACGUUAAUCGGGGCAGGGUGAGUCGACCCCUAAGGCGAGGCCGAAAGGCGUAGUCGAUGGGAAACAGGUUAAUAUUCCUGUACUUGGUGUUACUGCGAAGGGGGGACGGAGAAGGCUAUGUUGGCCGGGCGACGGUUGUCCCGGUUUAAGCGUGUAGGCUGGUUUUCCAGGCAAAUCCGGAAAAUCAAGGCUGAGGCGUGAUGACGAGGCACUACGGUGCUGAAGCGACAAAUGCCCUGCUUCCAGGAAAAGCCUCUAAGCAUCAGGUAACAUCAAAUCGUACCCCAAACCGACACAGGUGGUCAGGUAGAGAAUACCAAGGCGCUUGAGAGAACUCGGGUGAAGGAACUAGGCAAAAUGGUGCCGUAACUUCGGGAGAAGGCACGCUGAUAUGUAGGUGAAGCGACUUGCUCGUGGAGCUGAAAUCAGUCGAAGAUACCAGCUGGCUGCAACUGUUUAUUAAAAACACAGCACUGUGCAAACACGAAAGUGGACGUAUACGGUGUGACGCCUGCCCGGUGCCGGAAGGUUAAUUGAUGGGGUUAGCGGUAACGCGAAGCUCUUGAUCGAAGCCCCGGUAAACGGCGGCCGUAACUAUAACGGUCCUAAGGUAGCGAAAUUCCUUGUCGGGUAAGUUCCGACCUGCACGAAUGGCGUAAUGAUGGCCAGGCUGUCUCCACCCGAGACUCAGUGAAAUUGAACUCGCUGUGAAGAUGCAGUGUACCCGCGGCAAGACGGAAAGACCCCGUGAACCUUUACUAUAGCUUGACACUGAACAUUGAGCCUUGAUGUGUAGGAUAGGUGGGAGGCUUUGAAGUGUGGACGCCAGUCUGCAUGGAGCCGACCUUGAAAUACCACCCUUUAAUGUUUGAUGUUCUAACGUGGGCCCCUUACCGGGGUUGCGGACAGUGUCUGGKGGGKAGUUUGACUGGGGCGGUCUCCUCCUAAAGAGUAACGGAGGAGCACGAAGGUUGGCUAAUCCUGGUCGGACAUCAGGAGGUUAGUGCAAUGGCAUAAGCCAGCUUGACUGCGAGCGUGACGGCGCGAGCAGGUGCGAAAGCAGGUCAUAGUGAUCCGGUGGUUCUGAAUGGAAGGGCCAUCGCUCAACGGAUAAAAGGUACUCCGGGGAUAACAGGCUGAUACCGCCCAAGAGUUCAUAUCGACGGCGGUGUUUGGCACCUCGAUGUCGGCUCAUCACAUCCUGGGGCUGAAGUAGGUCCCAAGGGUAUGGCUGUUCGCCAUUUAAAGUGGUACGCGAGCUGGGUUUAGAACGUCGUGAGACAGUUCGGUCCCUAUCUGCCGUGGGCGCUGGAGAACUGAGGGGGGCUGCUCCUAGUACGAGAGGACCGGAGUGGACGCAUCACUGGUGUUCGGGUUGUCAUGCCAAUGGCACUGCCCGGUAGCUAAAUGCGGAAGAGAUAAGUGCUGAAAGCAUCUAAGCACGAAACUUGCCCCGAGAUGAGUUCUCCCUGACUCCUUGA